GAAAGUGUUUAUUUUGUAUUGUUUAUUUCUACUUAAAAAAAAUUCAUUCAUGCUGUAUUGUUACCAUUUAAACAAUUUGGUUUCCAGCUUUCAAAUAUCGUUCUGCCGGGGUAGAUGAAUUAUGCAACCUAUAUGGAGGAGAGGAAAUCAUCGAGGGAGUCGAGAAGAAACGCUGGAGAACAUUGCCAAGUUGCAGGAAAAGCAGAAGGUAGCGUAUGCCAAGAGUGCAGAAAAAAUACAGGGAUUUACACUACCGUGUUGGCGAUGAGGUUCUCCUCUACAACAUGACUUCCUUGGCCCUUAUGUCAUCAAGGAGCUGUGUGGCAAUUUAGUUUAGUUGGCAUAUUAUGACUGUGCUAUCCUGAAGAACAAGAUUAACAUUAACCACAUAAAGCCAUACAAAAGGAGUAAAGAAGCAACAUGCCCCAGGCAGCAAAGUGAAAGGACGUCGGUGAUUCAACUUGCCCUGAAGAGACAGGAUAGCACUACGGAGGUACAACCAAACUCUCUACCUGAAAAGCUUGCAUACACAUAUAUUGCAUAUAGUGUACUUCUGUAUCCUCAGCAUAUUCUUUCUGUUUGUACAAUUUUUUUUAUUUUUUUUUAUGUAGUUGCUUAACUUUACUUUUUUUUUUUUUUUAAAGCCUUCUGCAUCUUUGAAUUUACAGCAGAGCAUGGAAGACAGAGGUAGCAUUUGCAAAGGUCUUCAUUUUCUAUUUAGACCCUGUUGGUCAUUUAAUUGGCUAUGCCCUGUUAGUCUGGCCUUUUCAUUCAGGUGGCCAUUCUGGCCCUUGUUUAUAGUUGCCGCUGUUUGGCAUUAUGUUCUUGUUUUAUUAGCCUUACAAGUUAAUAUUCUACCAAAGAACCUAUACAGGUUGACCCCUUUAUCACAAAUGCUUUUGGACAUAGGUUUUGAUGUACGGAUAUUUGCAUAUAUGAUGAGAGCUCAUGCAAAAUGGCUGCUGUAUUUGGAACCAAUACUUUAGAAUUUGAAGAUAAGGCAUACUCGAUAGUACAAUAACUUAACUGCGGUUUAAGGGUUUUUUAUUUAUUUUUUUUAUUUAAAGGGCUGUGGAGUGCUGAAGAUAACGAC